GAACAGAACACCUGCGUAUGGACUGUAGACCGUCCUCACCAGAAUAAUCCAGGUAGUUGACUUUUUUCUUCAAAAUGCAAAUCACUAGUAUGAUCUGGGCUUUGGAUGGAGGGAGAUGAAUUCCUGAGAAGUACCUCUCCAAGUCCCAAAAGAUUAAGGCUAGAAGGAAUGGCCCACUUAAACUGAGUUCUGUGGAAAAAGGUUGACAAAGAAACACAGAAGGAAGUCUGCAUGUUGGGGCCAGAAGAGGGAAGAUUGGCUAGGACUGCACGGGCACUGGGAGACUUGAGGAAAUUUUAUCAAGAGAAGUACCCAGCUCCAAGUGCAGCUAGGAACGCGGCCAGCGGCUGCCAACCUUGCAACAAGGAGAGGCUGGGGGAUGACCACUGGACAGAGGAGCUGUGCGCUCUCUCCUUGUGCCCCGACUGGGAAAGGGGCUCACCCUGCGCUUCCCUUUCUCCCUCCGGGUGAACGUGGGAUGACCGUUUCCGACACAGAGAUGGACAUCAGCUCUUGAGGACAAUAGAUUGCCUGGGAACAUUCACGAGAGAGAAAUAAACUUCGGUAAUUACACAAUAAGAAGAACGACAAGACAAAAGCCAUCGCCUUGGCAACUGCCCUCCCUGAAAUCUGUCUGCCCCCUUUCUGAAAAGUGUCCUGGUAUAUUUAGAAACGUGUGUGCA